CGGUUUGAUUCUUGAUUGGAAAGUGGCGAACGGGUGAGUAACACGUAGGUGAUCUGCCUCGAAGUGGGGGAUAACCAUUGGAAACGAUGGCUAAUACCGCAUAGUUCUGUUGGUGUGGGAACAUUGACAGGUAAAGCUCUGGCGCUUCGAGAGGAGCCUGCGUCCGAUUAGCUAGUUGGGGGGGUAAAGGCCCACCAAGGCGACGAUCGGUAGCUGGUCUGAGAGGACGAUCAGCCACACGGGGACUGAGACACGGCCCCGACUCCUACGGGGGGCAGCAGUGAGGAAUAUUGCACAAUGGGGGCAACCCUGAUGCAGCAACGCCGCGUGGAGGAUGAAGGCCCUUGGGUCGUAAACUCCUUUUUUGGGGGAAGAGGAAGGACGGUACCCCAAGAAUAAGUCACGGCUAACUACGUGCCAGCAGCCGCGGUAAUACGUAGGUGGCGAGCGUUAUCCGGAAUUACUGGGCGUAAAGGGCAUGCAGGCGGCCUGUCAAGUCUGACGUGAAAGCUCCUGGCUUAACUGGGAGAGGUCGUUGGAAACUGAUGGGCUUGAGGCAAUGAGAGGGGUGCGGAAUUCCAGGUGUAGUGGUGGAAUGCGUAGAUAUCUGGAGGAACAUCAGUGGCGAAAGCGGCACCCUGGCAUUGACCUGACGCUCAUAUGCGAAAGCGUGGGGAGCGAACGGGAUUAGAUACCCCGGUAGUCCACGCUGUAAACGAU
rnacentral:rRNA from 1 species